rnacentral:rRNA from 1 species
UUAGAGUUUGAUCCUGGCUCAGGAUGAACGCUAGCGGCAGGCCUAAUACAUGCAAGUCGAACGGUAAAUGCCCCUUCGGGGGUAUGAGAGUGGCGCACGGGUGCGUAACGCGUAUGCAACCCACCCGCUGCCGGGGGAUAGCCCGGAGAAAUUCGGAUUAAUACCCCAUGAGGAGCGAGGAAGGCAUUUUCCACGUUUCAAAACUUCGGUGGCGGCGGACGGGCAUGCGUGCCAUUAGAUAGUUGGCGGGGUAACGGCCCACCAAGUCGACGAUGGCUAGGGGAUCUGAGAGGACGGUCCCCCACACUGGUACUGAGACACGGACCAGACUCCUACGGGAGGCAGCAGUAAGGGAUAUUGGUCAAUGGGGGGAACCCUGAACCAGCCAUGCCGCGUGAGGGAGGAAGGCCCUACGGGUCGUAAACCUCUUUUGCCGGGGGAUAAGGACACCUACGUGUAGGUGUUUGAAGGUACCCGGAGAAUAAGCAUCGGCUAACUCCGUGCCAGCAGCCGCGGUAAUACGGAGGAUGCGAGCGUUAUCCGGAUUUAUUGGGUUUAAAGGGUGCGCAGGCGGGCGAUUAAGUCAGCGGUGAAAGGCUCGGGCUCAACCGGAGCAGUGCCGUUGGAACUGGCGCCCUUGAAUGCGGUCAAGGGAGGCGGAACUUGCCAUGUAGCGGUGAAAUGCUUAGAUAUGGCGAAGAACCCCGAUUGCGAAGGCAGCCUCCUGGCCCGUGAUUGACGCUGAGGCUCGAAAGCGCGGGUAUCGAACAGGAUUAGAUACCCUGGUAGUCCGCGCCGUAAACGAUGAGUGCUGGUCAUGCGCGACAUGCUGUGUGUGACUGAGGGAAACCAUUAAGCACUCCACCUGGGGAGUACGCCGGCAACGGUGAAACUCAAAGGAAUUGACGGGGGCCCGCACAAGCGGAGGAACAUGUGGUUUAAUUCGAUGAUACGCGAGGAACCUUACCCGGGCUCGAACGGCGGGGGACGGGCACUGAAAAGUGCCUUCACGCGAGUGUCCCCGCCGAGGUGCUGCAUGGUUGUCGUCAGCUCGUGCCGUGAGGUGUCGGCUUAAGUGCCAUAACGAGCGCAACCCCCGCCGGCAGUUGCUAACGGGCAAUGCCGAGGACUCUGCCGGGACUGCCGGCGCAAGCCGCGAGGAAGGCGGGGAUGACGUCAAAUCAGCACGGCCCUUACGUCCGGGGCGACACACGUGUUACAAUGGCGGGUACAGCGGGAAGCGACCGUGCGAGCGGGAGCGGAGCCCGAAAACCCGUCUCAGUUCGGAUCGGAGUCUGCAACCCGACUCCGUGAAGCUGGAUUCGCUAGUAAUCGCGCAUCAGCCAUGGCGCGGUGAAUACGUUCCCAGGCCUUGUACACACCGCCCGUCA